CCUACGGGGUGCAGCAGUGAGGAAUAUUGGUCAAUGGGCGAGAGCCUGAUCCAGCCAAGUCGCGUGAGGGAGUACUGUCCUAUGGGUUGUAAACCUCUUUUGUCGGGGAGCAAAAGCCGGACGUGUCCGGCGGUGAGAGUACCCGAAGAAAAAGCAUCGGCUAACUCCGUGCCAGCAGCCGCGGUAAUACGGAGGAUGCGAGCGUUAUCCGGAUUUAUUGGGGUUAAAGGGGGCGCAGGCGGAAUGUUAAGUCAGCGGUCAAAUCGUGGGGCUCAACCCCAUCCAGCCGUUGAAACUGGGGAUCUAGAGUGUGCGAGAGGCAUGCGGAAUGUGUGGUGUAGAGGUGAAAUGCAUAGAUAUCACGCAGGACCCCGGUUGGGAAGGCAGCAGACCGGUGCACAACUGACGGUCAGGCACGAAAGCGUGGGUAUCGAACAGGAUUAGAUACCCUGGUAGUC
rnacentral:rRNA from 1 species